rnacentral:rRNA from 1 species
CCUACGGGGGGCUGCAGUGGGGAAUAUUGGACAAUGGGGGCAACCCUGAUCCAGCCAUGCCGCGUGUGUGAAGAAGGCCCUCGGGUUGUAAAGCACUUUCAGUGAGGAAGAACGCCUGGUGGUUAAUACCCAUCAGGAAAGACAUCACUCACAGAAGAAGCACCGGCUAACUCCGUGCCAGCAGCCGCGGUAAUACGGAGGGUGCGAGCGUUAAUCGGAAUUACUGGGCGUAAAGCGCGCGUAGGUGGCUUGAUAAGCCGGUUGUGAAAGCCCCGGGCUCAACCUGGGAACGGCAUCCGGAACUGUCAAGCUAGAGUGCAGGAGAGGAAGGUAGAAUUCCCAGUGUAGCGGUGAAAUGCGUAGAGAUCGGGAGGAAUACCAGUGGCGAAGGCGGCCUUCUGGACUGACACUGACGCUGAGGUGCGAAAGCGUGGGGAGCAAACAGGAUUAGAUACCCCAGUAGUC